CCCUUAGAUGUUCUGGGCCGCACGCGCGCUACACUGAUGCAUUCAACAAGCCUAGCCUUGACCGAGAGGUCCGGGUAAUCUUUGAAACUGCAUCGUGAUGGGGCUAGAUUAUUGCAAUUAUUAAUCUUCAACGAGGAAUGCCUAGUAAGCGUGAUUCAUCAAAUCGCGUUGAUUACGUCCCUGCCCUUUGUACACACCGCCCGUCGCUCCUACCGAUCGAAUGUGUUGGUGAGGAGCUCGGAUUGGCAGCAGUUGGUGGUUCGCCACCGGCUAUUGCUGAGAAGUCCUCCAAACCGCCCCAUUUAGAGGAAGGAGAAGUCGUAACA
rnacentral:rRNA from 1 species